rnacentral:misc_RNA from 1 species
GCGAAUUUUGAGAAUCCAUAUUCUAUUGCACAUCCAAUCAAUCGUCCAGCCUCAAUUCAGAAAUUGAUUCCUCAAAUAGAAUCAUAAAAGAAAACCAGGAAAAAAUAACAGAAAUACCACAAAUUAAAAGACGAUUAAUCCUGUACAACAAGCUCUCAAUCCCUCCAUCUUCGAUAAAAUGAUUAUGUAUAUAUGUAUACCCCUCGACUUCACAUAGGAUGAAUUCCUCCUUCCCUCAGUUGCAAUACAGAAUACACAUUCCUGAAAAUCAUACGGUAUAGCUGUAGCUGAGAAACGGAGGUGAAAUUCUCCCGGAAAAAAAUGGAAAUUAUCGUUCUAGCUUCCCGGAGAAUUGAAGAAAUCGAGAAAACCAAGGGAGAAAAAUGAAAA